GGCAGCACAGGAGAGCUUGCUCUCUGGGUGGCGAGUGGCGGACGGGUGAGGAAUACAUCGGAAUCUACUUUUUCGUGGGGGAUAACGUAGGGAAACUUACGCUAAUACCGCAUACGACCUACGGGUGAAAGCAGGGGAUCUUCGGACCUUGCGCGAUUGAAUGAGCCGAUGUCGGAUUAGCUAGUUGGCGGGGUAAAGGCCCACCAAGGCGACGAUCCGUAGCUGGUCUGAGAGGAUGAUCAGCCACACUGGAACUGAGACACGGUCCAGACUCCUACGGGAGGCAGCAGUGGGGAAUAUUGGACAAUGGGCGCAAGCCUGAUCCAGCCAUACCGCGUGGGUGAAGAAGGCCUUCGGGUUGUAAAGCCCUUUUGUUGGGAAAGAAAUCCAGCUGGCUAAUACCCGGUUGGGAUGACGGUACCCAAAGAAUAAGCACCGGCUAACUUCGUGCCAGCAGCCGCGGUAAUACGAAGGGUGCAAGCGUUACUCGGAAUUACUGGGCGUAAAGCGUGCGUAGGUGGUCGUUUAAGUCCGUUGUGAAAGCCCUGGGCUCAACCUGGGAACUGCAGUGGAUACUGGGCGACUAGAGUGUGGUAGAGGGUAGCGGAAUUCCUGGUGUAGCAGUGAAAUGCGUAGAGAUCAGGAGGAACAUCCAUGGCGAAGGCAGCUACCUGGACCAACACUGACACUGAGGCACGAAAGCGUGGGGAACAAACAGGAUUAGAUACCCUGGUAGUCCACGCCCUAAACGAUGCGAACUGGAUGUUGGG
rnacentral:rRNA from 1 species